UAACCUGCCCAAGAGAUCGGGAUAACACCUGGAAAUAGAUGCUAAUACCGGAUAACAACAGAUGAUGCCUAUCAAUUGUUUAAAAGAUGGUUCUGCUAUCACUCUUGGAUGGACCUGCGGUGCAUUAGCUAGUUGGUAGGGUAACGGCCUACCAAGGCGAUGAUGCAUAGCCGAGUUGAGAGACUGAUCGGCCACAUUGGGACUGAGACACGGCCCAAACUCCUACGGGAGGCAGCAGCU
rnacentral:rRNA from 1 species